UAUGGCUCAGGAUGAACGCUAGCGGCAGGCUUAACACAUGCAAGUCGAGGGGCAGCGGGAUGUAGCAAUACAUUGCCGGCGACCGGCGGAUGGGUGCGUAACGCGUAUGCAACCUACCUUAUACAGGGGAAUAACCUUUCGAAAGGGAGACUAACACCCCAUGGUAUUGAUUUAAGGCAUCUUAGAUUAAUUAAAUAUUUAUAGGUAUAAGAUGGGCAUGCGUAUGAUUAGCUAGUUGGUAAGGUAACGGCUUACCAAGGCGACGAUCAUUAGGGGUUCUGAGAGGAAGGUCCCCCACACUGGUACUGAGACACGGACCAGACUCCUACGGGAGGCAGCAGUGAGGAAUAUUGGUCAAUGGGCGCAAGCCUGAACCAGCCAUGCCGCGUGCAGGAAAGACGGCCUUAUGGGUUGUAAACUGCUUUUACAUAAGACUAACCGUAUAUUUGCGAAUAUACCUGAAUGUAUUAUGAGAAUAAGGAUCGGCUAACUCCGUGCCAGCCGCAGC
rnacentral:rRNA from 1 species